GAUGAACGCUCGCUACAGGCUUAACACAUGCAAGUCGCGGGGCAGCAUGGGGGUUGCUUGCAAUCCCCGAUGGCGACCGGCGCACGGGUGAGUAACGCGUAUCCAACCUGCCCUUCACCACGGGACAACCCGGCGAAAGUCGGACUAAUACCGUAUGUUGUCCAUUGACGGCAUCCGAUUUGGACGAAAGGUUUGGCGGUGAAGGAUGGGGAUGCGUCCGAUUAGCUGGACGGCGGGGUGACGGCCCACCGUGGCGACGAUCGGUAGGGGUUCUGAGAGGAAGGUCCCCCACACUGGAACUGAGACACGGUCCAGACUCCUACGGGAGGCAGCAGUGAGGAAUAUUGGGCAAUGGGCGUAAGCCUGAACCAGCCAAGUAGCGUGCAGGAUGACGGCCCUAUGGGUUGUAAACUGCUUUUAUGCGGGGAUAAAGUGGCCCACGUGUGGGUUUUUGCAGGUACCGCAUGAAUAAGGACCGGCUAAUUCCGUG
rnacentral:rRNA from 1 species